AUUGUCACUAGUACGCAAAGCUUCACGGAUGUAAGGAAAAAUAAUAAAUCAGUUCACUUUCUUUCAGUGGCUUGAAUCUCAGAAUUUAAGAGUCGUUGCACCACCCAUUGCGGACGGAUAUCACUCUGCCACGAUAGAUCACGAAUGGAAGAGCAUUAGCAACUGGACAGUUGUUUGAGAGUUUAUCCACUUCUCCAUUGCGCGGUAUCCCAACAAGUUCACACCCAGACGUGACGUGGUAUACGCCUUUUCUGGUUUCAAGUGUAGGGAACGAGGUUUCAAGGUCAUUGCUACAAUUCAACAGGAAUUAUCUUCGAAUUCUUGUGUUUAAUUGAUUAUUGCUUAUUUCGAGAGAGAGGGAGGGUAAAGUUUUUCUUGGGAGAUUGUAAAAUUCACAUCACAUGUCAUCAG